rnacentral:lncRNA from 1 species
UUUGUUAAAGUUCUAUUUUUAUUUCUGCAAACACCAUUUUGUUUGGUGAUAGUAGUGCAUAGUUUGGUGAAAUUGUUGCCAUGUUGAGAACAGAACUCACCAAAAGUGAUUCCAUAUUCACCACCCCCCCUAUCAACUUCUUAGAACUUUAUUAUUUUUUUCCCAAGUGAUUUUCAACUUCAGUUUAUACUGCAUAAACCUUGUUAAUGCCUCAUCCUGGCUUCGUAGUAAGUCACCCCACAUGACAAUGACUCUUGUACUUCAUCUAUAAAGUAGAUAAAAUAAUUUUUUACCGUCCUCGUGUUUGAACAAAUUUUAAAUCACAAAUAUCACUAUAAUUAAUCAAAGAGUUCAGUACUUCUUUCCACAAAAAAAAGGAUUGAAAUUUGCUUUGUUAAUUUUGCCUUCCACACAUACGUCACAUGUUGUGAGUAUUUUUAAUAUUAAAUUUUGGUAAAUAUUCAUGUUUAACUACUUUAACGAAGAGAAUUCAAAAUUAACAGAUCCCAAUUACCAUGCAAGUGUACGAAGACUCUUCAUCAAGUAAUUAGAAGAUUAGAUUUUUAUUGAUAUUCAUUUUUGGGAUUACAGUGAACAUCAUUUGAAUAAUCUGUCAGCUAGUACCCCCAUUUCGCCAAUAAACCCAUCUUAUCAGAAUAAACUGAUCUGACACAAAAACAAGCUUAAAAACCAGGCUUUCUAAGCAGAGAUCCCUGACACACCAAUUCUUACGGAUCUCGCGGCACAUGGAGUAAAUUAUUUUUUCAUGUUAAUUCCUUUCCCGAGGUCAUUUUCAGCACGACCUUCCCUGCCCUUCAACCUUGGAAAUUGCAGAGUUUCCCAUGAAAAUUUAUUCACCAUUGGUGACAACCUGAUAAUGGUAACAUCUCUUUAAUUGAGCACACAUGACGAGUAGCCCCUGUGUCCACCCAACCACUCCUUGGUUGUUCGAGCUGAUCAUUUUCCCUCAGUCAGAACCGCACACAGGGUCAUAUCAUUUACUUCGUUGGAAAGAAUUCUCUACAGUCAUGUUGGGCAGUGAGUAUCUUUGGUUUUUUGGAACACUUUCCUUUGAUUCUUUCGACUGUCGAUAGUCUUUGGCUUAUGGCCAUCUGUCAAGAUAUAACACGUCUUUCUCAUGAAUUUGAAGUUGCCUUUAUUCUCCCCCCCCCCCAAGAUCUGGAAUUUCUUCAUUUUGGUCUUGGAGCUUUGACCCUUUGAGCUCUGACCCUGCCACAAUAUUUGCCUUCGAUUUGUAUUGCCCGCCUUGGUUUCCUUUUCUCAGAAAACCUAUGUCCUCCUCAAUUCUUGAGCUGCACAUCAAGUCUUCCAGGUUCACUCCUUCUGCUUGUGCUUGAGAUAGUUUUAAAAUCCUUCCAUGAAGUGGAAGUUUUUCAAUCAUGCGCUACUUAAAAGUCUCGCUGCGUUGCAUCCCUUCAGCAUGAAAUUUCAUGCAAAUCACCUUGAUCUUGGACUUGGCUACUCACACCGUUUUGUGGCGUCUACCCAUCAGGUAUUCCAUAAAUCUGGCCCAUGCAAAUUUUCUUUGACCCACAUCUUCAGUUUUUGUAACUUCGUCUCCAAAGACCUCCCACAAGAGAUCUUUUCCCAUGUCUUGGCAGAAACAAUACACAUUGUAGAGUGUAUUGUCCAGUCGAUUCAGGACGAAUUCCUGGAAAGAAAAUCGCAUGUCCCAAGCAUCUCUCGCGUAACACCCGCGAUUGGUUUCACCCUCCUCACGCAUGAGCGUCCUCUUUGAGAAACGAGCAGACUCAAAGUUGGGUCAGAUAGAACAAUUUUUUGCUGCCAUCUUUUGAAUCAUUUCAUCCAAACCAUUCUGCUUCUCAGCAUGGCCCCUGUUAGAUUCCGUUGGAACUGGUUGCCAUCAAAGCAGCGGGAUGGUCAAUCCAGCAUUGGCCCCAACAGCAGGGUUCCCCGUUCAUAUUCUGGCUCAUUCUGGUUCAUUUUCCAGCAAUCCCCGCAUUGUCAUCGUUUCAGUUGUCCAUCUUUCACUUAAACACGAAAUUUAGUAAUUUGGUAUUAAAUCAAAAAAUAAUUUCGUUAUUUUUCCACAAUAAAUUCAAAAAUCAAAAAGUGUUUUUGUUAGGAAACAAACAAUCUGAAAUCGGAUUUAAUGUCUUAAAAUUAUUAAUAAAAUAAAAUUCAGUAAAGUGCUGAUUUAUAAGUGGAAACUCAAUUACAGAUGGACGAUAAACUGUAAAUAAAAAUAAACAAAAAAAUACAAAGCUGAUCGAGGCCAGCGUUCCACACUUCUCCUCAACAGAAUUCGCCCGUCACUGGUGCUUACGGCUGUUAAGCGUCUGCUCCCAGGAUGCAACAUCUCGCUCACAGAAUUAGCACAAUUUCUGUAUGCUCGGUCGCACCAGAAAUUUAGGGGUGUCACUCUCUCACAAAUGACUCUAAUGCAUAAUGCUGAAACUUUCUUUUUCCUUACUGAUGAACGCUCAGAUGUUUUGGUGAACUCUUGAACUUGCAAGGGAUGUUGUUAUUUUAGGAUUUUCAAUGCUAUGAAAAGCACGAAUUUAUUCCAAUGCCACAUUUGAAGGCCAUUGUUCACAGCCGAACACCCCACUAACCAGCGCAAAUAAAUCUCCUCUAUGCUGAAAUGGCUGCUGUUAUCAAAUAUGACAGGUCUUGACCUUUCGUAAUAGAUAAAUGGAGGUUAAUCUCAAUUAAAAAUUACCUGUGGUUAAUUUUUGUAAUUAAAAAUUACAAGGAAUUUAUAUGUAUUAAAAAACUACCAGAUUAAAGUGAUUAACCAAUUGCUCAUAUACCCCCCAUCGCACCACCCCACGUGCCGCGUGCUCUCUAAUAGCGCCCAUCGCGCACCGCGUACCGCGACUCUCGGCUCGGCUCACGCCGCGCUUUCAAAUGAAAGCUAAGUUCAAUGUAACUCACUGGUACAUACCUACUCUUCUUGGUGUCGCAAGUACUCAUUUUGUUAUGUUAGCUUGGCGUAUAUGAACCCUUUAAAAAUAUUUUUAUUUAUCCGAUUGGACUUUCACAUUUUUUCAUAUCAAUGUACCACUUUUAUGAACAUUUUCUCAUUCACCUUUUAAUCUGUUUUGAGCAAAUAAAUAUACUACGGUUAAUCUACUCGCGAAUGAGAAUCAUUCCACACCUUUCAUAAUUUCUAACCGGGACCCACCAUACAAUUAGGGUCACACUCAUGCUCAACCUUUAACUUUUCCAACACAAUCUCCCCCAACCUCCAAAGGGAAAAAGUCCACUCCAGCUUCCCAAGGUGUAAGGCCACCAUCAACCCACGGAGGUGCACAACAUAGGCCUGCACCUUUCAGUCCCAAGGUUUCAGGUUCCAAUCUUUCAGCCUCCAAGCUUUUAGUCCCCAAGCAGUGAGGCCACAUCAUGGGGCUGCUGCUUUCAGGCCCCAAUCUAUGAGGCCACCAUCUGGGACUGCACAUAUGCAGGUCCCUUUUUUCCGGCCCCCCAACUUGGCAUCUCGGCUAUGAAUUCAACUCGCACAUCUUAAAAAACAUACUAUUUCUCUUUUGUUAGGACUCUACUAUUUUGUUAGGCCCCUUACUUUUUUGUUAAUACUAACUAUUGUUUUGGGGUUGUAUUACUGGUGUGAUGAUGAUAUGUUCAUGGGGCUGCCCUUCCAAAAUUGUUUUUGUUCACAAUAGUACUAUUAUGGUUUUGAUGUUAGGUAGCUGGUAGUUGGCCAAUUAUCCACUACUAAGUUUUAGUUGAUUCUGCAAUAUGUAUGUUGGGAAAUUGGUGGGAUUUUGUGUGACAUUAGUUUUGCGCUCUAUCUUCUUCUACAGAUCAUAUGUGGGAUUUGGGGGGGAGGGAGAUUUCUAUAUAGUUCCUUUCUUUUCUUCUCCCUUCUUCCUCCUCUUUUUUGCUUUGUUUUUUGUGUAUUAUGUAGCAGGUAUAUGGUGGGAGUUUCCCUCCAUAAACUAUGGUGGGAGUUUCCCUCCAUAGUUUAUGUCCCUGAAAUCAUUGAUUCCGUCACAGAAUCUGCGACUCCGUUUACUAUUGGACUCUUUAAACGAUAAAUUGAUAGAUGAGGGACGAAAUAUGAUAGUUUGUUAGUUUAGGGUGACAUAAAAAAAAAACUGGAUAGUUUAGGGGAUAAAGGCGGAAUUAAUCCGGGGAAGGAACAAGCAAACCAAAAAUGGAAACAAAUAGAGUGGGUUUCUCUAGCAAUCUCCUAAAUUUUAACUCUCUACUUUGGCUCCUUUUGGUAAUGCUUAAGAGCCUGUUUGGCUGGCGAAUAUAGAAGGGGAUAAGUUUUCCCCCCUUCUUUCUCUUUCUAUUCGUGUUUUGCUGCGGAUUCUUGGGAUGUGGAUAAUGUUUCCCCUCGGGUAAUUUUUUCCCCCCAACAGGCAGGAUAAUUUAUAGGGUUAACCUUAUCCUAGGUUAAAAUUAUGAGUGCUGGAAAAUCUCUCUAUAUCUAUAUCAUAAUCUAUCAUAUAUAUAUAUAUAUUUGUAUGAAUAUCUUAUUUAGAUAUUUAUAUAUGUCUCUGUAUAUUUUUUAAUAUCUAUAUACUGUUAUAAUUUGUUUUCUUCUCCUCUAUGUUUUUAUUUCUUAGCCCACACCCUUAUCCACUCAUUCAAAAAGGAUCCAAACAAAAUUAAAAGUUCUCCCCUCCAACAAUUUUUAUCCCCCUCUAAAAUUUACCCCCCCCCCUCUAAAAGUUUCCUUCCCCUCCUUAUUCUCCAGCCAAACGAGCCUCUUAAAAGCCAAGUUUUUUUUAAGCUUACUAUACUACCCAAAAGCCAAGAUUUUUUUUUUUUGGCUUUAUUUUAACUACAAAUAAAUUAAAAUCAAGAAUUCAACUAUAAACUCUGUUUUUUUGUUAUAAACUUAAAAAAAAGUCAACCGAAAAACUAGUACCAAACGGGGACAUUAUCUAAAUUAUAGUUUAGAGAGUACUUUUUUUUUUUAAGUUAUUCUAAUGGUAUUCAUAUUUUAUAUAUACUCAAUUAAAAUAUUAUUUAUUUGAAAUAUUUUU